AUUGAACGCUGGCGGCAGGCCUAACACAUGCAAGUCGAGCGGAUGAAGGGAGCUUGCUCCUGGAUUCAGCGGCGGACGGGUGAGUAAUGCCUAGGAAUCUGCCUGGUAGUGGGGGGUAACGUCCGGAAACGGGCGCUAAUACCGCAUACGUCCUGAGGGAGAAAGUGGGGGAUCUUCGGACCUCACGCUAUCAGAUGAGCCUAGUCGGAUUAGCUAGUUGGUGGGGUAAAGGCCUACCAAGGCGACGAUCCGUAACUGGUCUGAGAGGAUGAUCAGUCACACUGGAACUGAGACACGGUCCAGACUCCUACGGGAGGCAGCAGUGGGGAAUAUUGGACAAUGGGCGAAAGCCUGAUCCAGCCAUGCCGCGUGUGUGAAGAAGGUCUUCGGAUUGUAAAGCACUUUAAGUUGGGAGGAAGGGCAGUAAGUUAAUACCUUGCUGUUUUGACGUUACCAACAGAAUAAGCACCGGCUAACUUCGUG
rnacentral:rRNA from 1 species